CAGCAGAGCGUGCCCGGGGCUCCGCCGGCCGCGGGAUCUCCGGCCCCGGGAUCUCCGGCCGCGGGAUCUCCGGCCCCGGGAUCUCCUGCCCCGGGAUCUCCGGCCCCGGGAUCUCCGGCCCCGGGAUCUCCGGCCCCGGGAUCUCCUGCCCCGGGAUCUCCUGCCCCGGGAUCUCCUGCCCCGGGAUCUCCGGCCCCCAGAACCACCGGGGCUCUUCCCCACGGCCGGCGCGGCGCCCGAGCCGCCCCCAAGCCGCCCGUCCCUCGUGGCCGCGCGGGGCCCGCAAGAUGGCGGCGGGCGGCCCUGAGGGGAGGCGGCCGUGAGGGGCGGCUCGGAGCCGCGUUGCUGCCCCGCUGCAGGAGCUCAGCGCUCGCUGCUCCCUGCCUGCCCUCGUGGCGAGGUUCGGAACGGCUUGUCGGGCACGGCUCCAGCCGCCGAGAGAGCCCCGAGCCAGCAGGGCAGGUGUUUGGGCUCUUGGUUUGCCUGAACUUUAUUCAGGCCGUAGAGGAGGUGAUCUUGUUGGUGUGGUUGUUCACCUGAGGCAGAGGAUGGCCGCCCCUUGGCUGAAAUGUCGGAGACUCUGUAGCUUGGCUGUGUCAUGGGCUUAUGCUGUUCCCCCUUUCUGAAUUGUUCCACUUGGGACAGCUGCCACAGAAGUUCCCCUUCCUGACAGGUUUGCACUGUCUCUGUUUUGCCAUGGAAUAGGAGAGCCUCCCUUGUGAGUCAUGGAAUCACAGAUUCCCAGGCUGGUUUGAGCUGGAAGGGACUUUAAAGACCAUCCAGUUCCACCCCCUGCCAUGGGUGGAACAUCUUCCACUAGACCAGACAAGGAGAGGAGUUCAGCUUGCAGCUUUUCUGAAACUUUUUCACCUCCUGUGCUUGCCAUCCUGCUUCCCUUCUCCACCCUAACCCAGAGCCAGGGCUUCUCAGGAGGAUUGUCCUCUUCAUCCCUCCCUGACAAGGAUUCCAUCCUGCUGUUUAUGGUUUCCCUGUGCUGAGACAGGUGGAAAUGUUUUCCUGCAUGUGUUGUCUGCCAGUCAUUAAAAACAGACUCCAAUCUUCUCGUGUAAAUGAAAUUCUCCUUAUUCUUCCCAACAUCACCGAGAAAACUGGAACUGGAGAGGAAAGAUGAUCCUAAUUCUUUCCCUGCUCUACACUGCAUCUGCACCACUUGAUCCUACCAGGACUCAGUGCAGCAGAACCUUGGUGGCCACAGCUGGGAACUCGGUGGAUUGGGAGCAAAGCUGAAGGGUUUGGCACUAAGAGAAGCAGUGCCUGAUAAACAAAGGCAGAGUGGGAUUCCACACCCGGGAUUUGGGAUUGGUGAUGGUCCCAAUCCCUCAUCUUUCUGUUCAUUUUCUUUUGGAUGCUGCAGCCUGCUGGGCUGGGGGAGCUGUUCCUUUGCAUUUCAUUUUCUGUAUUCUGUUGAUUCUCUGUGGAAAUCUGCUUUUAAUAAAAAGGCUCCUGAGGACAUUGAUGAUGCCCCAGGUUCCUGGGAUUCCCAGGUGUGUGUUCAGACCAAGGAUUGUUCUGGCUGGCAGAAGCUGCACCAAUCUCCCAGGAAUCUCAGUCUGGGUUUGUCUUUUCUCUCAAAUCUUCUUGGUUUGGGGGUGCAGUGCAGCCCUGCCCUGUGCAUCUCCUAGAAGAGUUUUGGGGUUAAAAAGGUUCUUUCCUAUCCUGCAGUUUUUCUCUAGAACUUGAUUAAAAAGAAUAAUGUGUUGAUGUGAUCUUA